GAGCGCUGGCGGCGUGCCUAAUACAUGCAAGUAGAACGCUGAAGAGAGGAGCUUGCUCUUCUUGGAUGAGUUGCGAACGGGUGAGUAACGCGUAGGUAACCUGCCUUGUAGCGGGGGAUAACUAUUGGAAACGAUAGCUAAUACCGCAUAACAAUGGAUGACUCAUGUCAUUUAUUUGAAAGGGGCAAAUGCUCCACUACAAGAUGGACCUGCGUUGUAUUAGCUAGUAGGUGAGGUAACGGCUCACCUAGGCGACGAUACAUAGCCGACCUGAGAGGGUGAUCGGCCACACUGGGACUGAGACAUGGCCCAGACUCCUACGGGAGGCAGCAGUAGGGAAUCUUCGGCAAUGGGGGCAACCCUGACCGAGCAACGCCGCGUGAGUGAAGAAGGUUUUCGGAUCGUAAAGCUCUGUUGUAAGUCAAGAACGAGUGUGAGAGUGGAAAGUUCACACUGUGACGGUAGCUUACCAGAAAGGGACGGCUAACUACGUGCCAGCAGCCGCGGUAAUACGUAGGUCCCGAGCGUUGUCCGGAUUUAUUGGGCGUAAAGCGAGCGCAGGCGGUUUGAUAAGUCUGAAGUUAAAGGCUGUGGCUCAACCAUAGUUCGCUUUGGAAACUGUCAAACUUGAGUGCAGAAGGGGAGAGUGGAAUUCCAUGUGUAGCGGUGAAAUGCGUAGAUAUAUGGAGGAACACCGGUGGCGAAAGCGGCUCUCUGGUCUGUAACUGACGCUGAGGCUCGAAAGCGUGGGGAGCGAACAGGAUUAGAUACCCUGGUAGUCCACGCCGUAAACGAUGAGUGCUAGGUGUUGGAUCCUUUCCGGGAUUCAGUGCCGCAGCUAACGCAUUAAGCACUCCGCCUGGGGAGUACGACCGCAAG
rnacentral:rRNA from 1 species